rnacentral:rRNA from 1 species
UACGUAGGGGGCAAGCGUUGUCCGGAAUCAUUGGGCGUAAAGAGCGUGUAGGUGGCUCGGUAAGUCCGCUGUAAAAGUCCAGGGCUCAACCCUGGAAAGCCGGUGGAAACUGUCGAGCUAGAGUCCGGAAGAGGCGAGUGGAAUUCCUGGUGUAGCGGUGGAAUGCGUAGAGAUCCGGAAGAACACCGGUGGCGAAGGCGGUCUGCUGGGGUAAUGCUGACACUGAUGCGCGACAGCGUGGGGAGCAAACAGG